AGCGUCUGGAAAGGCGCGCGAUACAGGGUGACAGCCCCGUACACAAAAGCGCAUGUGCUGUGAGCUCGAUGAGUAGGGCGGGACACGUGGUAUCCUGUCUGAAUAUGGGGGGACCAUCCUCCAAGGCUAAAUACUCCUGACUGACCGAUAGUGAACCAGUACCGUGAGGGAAAGGCGAAAAGAACCCCGGCGAGGGGAGUGAAAAAGAACCUGAAACCGUGUACGUACAAGCAGUGGGAGCCCCACCACCAAAGCAUUCUCUGGUGUUGAAGGCCCUGCAAAGCAGCAUCGCGGUGGCGGAGCGUCGUUUGCGACGCCCAACACACAAAACAAGCGGUGAGUGCUUUGGGGUGGGGUGACUGCGUACCUUUUGUAUAAUGGGUCAGCGACUUAUAUUCUGUAGCAAGGUUAACCGWAUAGGGGAGCCGGAGGGAAACCGAGUCUUAAYYGGGCGUUAAGUUGCAGGGUAUAGACCCGAAACCCGGUGAUCUAGCCAUGGGCAGGUUGAAGGUUGGGUAACACUAACUGGAGGACCGAACCGACUAAUGUUGAAAAAUUAGCGGAUGACCUGUGGCUGGGGGUGAAAGGCCAAUCAAACCGGGAGAUAGCUGGUUCUCCCCGAAAGCUAUUUAGGUAGCGCCUCGUGAAUUCAUCUCCGGGGGUAGAGCACUGUUUCGGCUAGGGGGCCAUCCCGGCUU
rnacentral:rRNA from 1 species